AGACGGUGACGUUAAGCAAAUCCCAGAAAUAACGUCCCAGUUCGGAUUGUAGUCUGCAACCCGACUACAUGAAGCUGGAAUCGCUAGUAAUCGCGAAUCAGAAUGUCGCGGUGAAUACGUUCCCGGGUCUUGUACACACCGCCCGUCACACCAUGGGAGUCGGAAAUGCCCGAAGUCAGUGACCCAACCGUAAGGAGGGAGCUGCCGAAGGUGGAGCCGGUAACUGGGGUGAAGUCGUAACAAGGUAUC
rnacentral:rRNA from 1 species